GCUACCCAUUUCUCCAUAUUUAUCUCUUGCACAAAUACACAGACAACUCUCUCUUUUCUCCGCAGCCACUCACUUCCUUUCUCUGUUGUGCGAUCGACAAGAGAACAACAAUCGACACCAACUUCAACUGAACCGUCGACAACACCUCUAGGUUCAGGCAGGGAAACAUGAUCACCGAGAUAAUUAUGCGGGCCUACCAGAUGUGAUUACGAGGGUCUGCAUGUUUGUUUUCUGGUAUAUUGAAUCAAUGUUGCUGAUGUCUCUAUUUGAGGAGUGCUGGAAACUCUUAGAUCCAUUGCUGCAGAUCCUCCUCAUAGUGUUAGUGAUGGUAAUAAUAUACAAUUUCUCGCGCUCAAUGAAUACAAAUAUGCCGCACUUGCACGCAAGCAUCAGUCUGAGUCCUCCAGAUUGGCCCCCCAUCGGCAGAGCCAAUCCUCCAGACUCGGCCCCCAGCAGCAGCCCGAGUCCUCCAGACUCGCCCCCCAGCAGCAGAGCUAAUCCUCCUGACUGGCCCUCCAGCAGCAGAGCGAAGCCUCAACACUCGCCCCCCAGCAGCAGUUCUCAGCAUCAGCGCCUUCCGGAUGUGGAAUUUACCUUUAAAGAAGAAAAAGGUGAAAGGGACAAAGGGUUCAUAGAAGAAAAAGGUGAAAGUUACAAAGAGUUCAUAGAGGAAAUACGAACUAAACUCCCAGGAAAAAAGGUGCUGACUCGAUUUGAUCCAACCCAAUCGAGAUUUCUUUUGGUGAAACUCUCAAAUUCAGGGGACAAAUCCGUUACGUUAAUAAUAAAAAAAGAAGAUGUAUAUCUGUUAGGUUAUAUAAUAGAAGUACCAAAAAGUGAAGGUUAUGGUAUAGAAGUACCAAAAAGUGAAGGUUAUGGUAUAGAAGUACCAAAAAGUGAGGAUCGAAAUGAGGAAAAAACUGAAGAAGGAAGGGAAAAGCUGGAAAAGGGAGAAGAAGAACAAAACGUAAAAAAAAUCUACUGCUUUAAAAAUACUUCUGCCGAUAUUAAUGAAGAAUUCAAAGACCCAGAAGCCGAAGAACUUCCAUUUGAAUUUAAUUAUGACUCGCUUAGAUCUGAAUCCAAAAUACGUCAAAACAUCUCUAUAUGCGACACCAUGGAGAAUGCCAUCAGUAAUCUCAACAACGAAGGGGAAGGUAAGGUCGACAAUAAAAAAGUGGCUGAAGCCCUUUUAGUUUGCAUCCAUUUUCUUUCGGAAGCAGCAAGAUUCAAAUCUGUGGAGGAGGAAGUCUCUAGAUGCAUUAAAUAUAGAAAUGCAAAGGAAAAACCUAUGUUUAAUGUUUUGCAGUGCAUUCAGCUGGGGAGAGACUGGAAAGAUUUCUGUACGGAAUUCCUCCAAGGAAAUUCUAAUCAGAACGUUGAGAAUCUUAAGCUCGUGAAGAUGAAGAAGGGAGAAACUGACCAGGACGUUAAGAACCUUAAACACGUUAGGGGGAAGAAGAAAGAAAAUAAAAAGAAAAUGUCCCGUGUCCAAGUUUCCUAUGAACAAGAACAGAUCGCCGUGGCCCGUUCAUUUGAGAAAUAUUGCAAGGAACUAAGUAUACUUUUUCUUGUUUGCGAAACACUGUAUUCCAUUUUAAAGAGUAGUGGGCUUUUAGGCCCAGUUACUGCUGGUACCAGUGAUCCUUAAAUGCAAGUUUCCUCGAAGAGCUGCGGUUUCUCUGAAGCAUUUCCCAGUUUCUUCAAACUGGCUUUAAUAAUGAAGUGGCUUAGGUAGAAGGAUCUUUGUUCAGUUGUGUAUGUUCCUUUUGUUAGUUGUACUUAUUGUUUUUCCAAGAGAAGAAAUGAAGAGAUAGCACUUGGGUUAAAGCUUAG
rnacentral:misc_RNA from 1 species